rnacentral:rRNA from 1 species
GGGGAAUUUUCGACAAUGGGCGCAAGCCUGAUCCAGCAAUGCCGCGUGCAGGAUGAAGGCCUACGGGUUGUAAACUGCUUUUGUACGGAACGAACAGGCUCUGGCUAAUACCUGGGGCACAUUACGGUACCCUAAGAAUAAGCCCCGGCUAACUACGCGCCAGCAGCCGCGGUAAUACGUAGGGUGCAGCGUUAAUCGGAAUUACUGGGCGUCAAGCGUGCGCAGGCGGUUUUGUAAGACAGAGGUGAAAUCCCCGGGCACAACCUGGGAACUGCCUUUGUGACUGCAAAGCUGGAGUGCGGCAGAGGGGGAUGGAAUUCCGCGUGUAGCAGUGAAAUGCGUAGAUAUGCGGAGGAACACCGAUGGCGAAGGCAAUCUCCUGGGCCUGCACUGACGCUCAUGCACGAAAGCGUGGGGAGCAAACA